CGGAUUCAUCAAAGUUUUCAGCAGUGCUUUUUGCAAUAUUUCAUUCGAGGUGGUAGACAAAGUCCGGCUUUAGAGAGCAAUGACACGGCUACAUACAUACUCAAAAUCAACAUCGCGAGUCAUCCCACGCAAAGCAUCAGGAGUCAUUAAUAAUUUCAAGUAGAUCAUGCAGCAUGCAAAGGAUGAGGACUUUUAUCCUGCGAAUAAUAAAGACAUGGCCAUCUACACCUGAAUAAAUAAGACGCCAUGUUUGGAAUUUUGCAAAAUCAUGUUUCUCAAGUCAAACGAUGGGUUCAUCUUCAAGUCCAUGCUCAACACACUUGUUUCCGCGACUGACGAGGCCUGAACUCAUAUACACUUCCUGACCGACGAGGCGGGAUACAUUAUGUUCGCAAUCGACGAGGCCAAACUAUUUUGUUUUUACGACUUGAUCUGCAUCUCGCAUUUGAUCGAUGCAUGAAAUCCGUCAAUUUCCAGCAUGACGACAUUAUUAUUUUCCAUUGAUCGUUUGCAUCUUUUAUGCCUUGAAGACAUAAGUCAUGGGUUAGAGAAUGAUGAUGACCGUUUUGAGGCAGUUUAAUCGGAGGUCUUUCAUGGACAUGAAUCUAUGAAUAUAAUUUAACUAGAGGUCCUUUCAAGGCCCUAGGAGUCGAGAACUGUACAAUUGUCUUUUAUAUGUCAGAUCCUACCGAG
rnacentral:lncRNA from 1 species